CUAAAUGCACCUCUUCUGGAAAACCACAAAACCCCCGAGGUCCUCCAGCAUAAGCCUGUCCUGGCCAGCUUUUCCAUGGGUGGAUACAUGGCCUGUGGCCAAUACCAUUCAAUCAUCUUCCAUCUGACUUCACAUUCUAUCACCUCCAAUCUGUAAAAUAAUGCCACACUGUCAAAUCUGCAACGGGAAAUGAUGGGAAGACCUACAUGUAUUCCCCAGCAAGCAGUACACAAUUCACAAAGCAGAGGACUAAUUCUUGAAUUCAAUGGGAGAAGAAUCAUCAACAAUAGCCACUCCGGCUGAAAACUGGAGAUCUCACAGAUCAAUCACUCACGUGGAAAGUGCAUUGUUACAGCUGAAGCACAAAGUCGGACAUGCUUGAAUACGUGUGCACAGGUGCAAUGGAAAUAAAGCCUGCAACAGCAUCAAAAUCAAAGGGGAACUAUCACGCAGCAUCCACACAAGCAAGACUUCACAAGUUUGGUGGGGCUGGAGACAGCCUUCCCCUGGACUAACGCCACUGGCCGAACCUGAGGGUUAAAGGUAUAUUAGAGGUCCGUACUGAGCUAGGAGUAAAUACACAGACUACAGAAGAAUGGUACGGGGAUAGCAGUUUAGUCCAUGAUGUGUGUGCUGAACACAAGCCAAUCAAACUUAUUUCAUUUACCUGGACAUGGUCUAUUCACUGCCUGUACAGGGACAGGCCCUUGUCCGUGAUGUCUGUGCCAAACACACUGCUGAUCAAACUAAUCCCAUUUGCCUGGACACGGUCCAUAUCACUCCAUUCCCUGACUGUCUAAACACCUCUUAGACGUUGUUACCACAUCUGCUUCCACACUUCCACUGGCAUUCUGUUCCAGGCACCAUAAGACCAUGAGAUACAAGAGCAGAAUUCACCACCAUUCAAUCAUACUCAAUUUUAUAACUUUGUUCUCCCUCCUUCUCUUCAUACUCUUAAACACCUCCCCCCCCCCCCAUUACCAAACAAGAACCUACUCACUCUAAAUGCACACAAUGACUUGGUCUCCACAGCCGUCUGUGGCAGUGAAUUCCACAGAUUUGUCAUCCGCUGAUUUUAGAAUUCCAGAGAAUUCCAGAAAAACCAUGACGUUACAUGCUGAAGACACGUGAGUGUCCAGAUGCUGGAAUUUGGCUCAACAAAGCAUCUGCUGGAGAAACUCAGCAGGUUGAGCAGCAUCUGUGGGAGAAAAGGAACUGUGGAUAUUACAACACAGAAAUAGUCCCAUCGGCCCAACUGGCCCAUGCUGACCAAGGUAGCCAUUUAAGUUAGCUGCUUUUGCCUCAUCUCCUCCUUAAUCUUUCCUAUCCAUGCUUCUGCCUAAGUGUCUUUUAAAUAUUUACAUGGACUUUUAUGUCAUUUAAUAAAUAGUAUAUUGAUUCUGAAGAUGCAAGCUCCACCUACAAAAGUGUUUUAUUUUUCUUGCUUUUAAGUAUUUGCAUCAAGUUUUGGAAUUAUAUAAAGAUACAUUUUCUACUCUGGUUCAAACUUUGUUGCAAAAAAUAAUGGCAAUAAAUUCCACCUCCACAAUUCUCCUGAUAAUCACCCCCUACCCCACACAACUUGUCUCCCUCACCCUUGCUACCAGCAGGAUAAUGAUUUACUUUAGGAUCAGAGGCAAAGUGAGUGGCCCCUCGAUCAGGCAGAGGCUCUGGUUCUCCGAUGAUCAGAACCAGGUGUUAAUGUCAAGAAAUGUGUUGUUCUGUGGCAGCAGUACUGUGAAAAUUCCUACAGGUUACAAUCAUUUUUGGUUUGGGGCCCUUUAUCUAAGAAAAGAUGUGCUGAUGUUGGAAGGGGCUCAGAGGAGGUUCAGGAGAAUGAUUCCAGGAACGAAAGACUUAUUGCCUGAGGAAUGAUCGAUGGUUCUGGGCCUGUACUCACUGGAAUUCAGAAGAAUGUGAGGGGAUCUCAUUGAAACCUAUCAAAUCUUGAAAGGCCUCAGGAGGCUGGAUGUAGAGAGGAUGGUUCCUAUGGUGGGGAAGUCUAAGACCAGAAGGUACAGCCUCAGAAUAGAGGGACAUCCAUUUAGAAUGGAGGAGAAGAGGAAUUUUAUCUGCCAGACAGUAGUGAAUCCAUGGAAUUUGUUGCCAUAGAUGGUUGUGGAGGCCAAGUUAUUGGGUAUAUUUAAGGCAGAUGUUGAUAGAUUUGUGAUUAGUCAGGGCAUUAAGGGUUACAGGAAGAACAGAGGAGAUGAGACUUAGAGAAAAAUGGAUAAGCCAUGAUGAAAUGUGGAGAAGACUUAAUGGACCAAAUGGCCUAAUUCUGCUCCUAUAUCAUAUGAUUUAUGGUUGUACAUUUAGAGAUGCUCUACUGUACACCACUGUUCUAAUGUGUGUUUAUUUGAGUUAAUGUUGCUUUCCUGUCAGCUUGAGCCAGUCUGACCAUUCUCCUCUGAACUUUUUCAUUAACAAGGGAUGUUUGUGCACAAGCAUGGCUGUUCACUGGAUAGAUUUUGAUUUUCACAUUGUAAACUCUAGAGACUGUUGUGUGUGAAAAAAUCCCAUGAGAUCAGCAGUUUCUGAGAUACUCAAAGCACCCCAUCUGGCACCAACAGUCAAAGUCAUUUAGAUCACAUUUCUUCCCCAUUAUGAUGAUUGGCAUGAGCAUCAGUUGAACCUCUUGACCAUGUCUGCCUGCUUUUAUGCAUUGAGUUUCUGCCACAUGAUUGGCUGAUUAGAUAUUUGCAUUAACGAGCAAAUAGACAUGUGUAACUAAUAAAGUGAUCAUGGAUGUAUUUGC